UACGGAGGGGGGCUAGCGUUGUUCGGAAUUACUGGGCGUAAAGCGUACGUAGGCGGCUUUGUAAGUUAGAGGUGAAAGCCCGGGGCUCAACCCCGGAAUUGCCUUUAAGACUGCAUCGCUUGAACGUCGGAGAGGUGAGUGGAAUUCCGAGUGUAGAGGUGAAAUUCGUAGAUAUUCGGAAGAACACCAGUGGCGAAGGCGGCUCACUGGCCCGGUUCUGACGCUGAGGUGCGAAAGCGUGGGGAGCAAACAGGG
rnacentral:rRNA from 1 species